rnacentral:rRNA from 1 species
UAGUCCACGCCGUAAACGAUGGUCACUAGUUGUUGGGGCUUUAUGCCUCAGUGAUUAAGAGAAAUUGAUAAGUGACCCACCUGGGGAGUACGAUCGCAAGGUUGAAACUCAAAGGAAUUGACGGGGGCCCGCACAAGCGGUGGAGCAUGUGGUUUAAUUCGAUGAUACGCGAGGAACCUUACCAGGGCUUAAAUGUAAGUUGCAUGAUUUAGAGAUAGAUCUUUCUUCGGACUACUUACAAGGUGCUGCAUGGUUGUCGUCAGCUCGUGCCGUGAGGUGUCAGGUUAAGUCCUAUAACGAGCGCAACCCCUACCGUUAGUUGCCAGCAUGUUAUGAUGGGGACUCUAGCGGGACUGCCGGUGCAAACCGAGAGGAAGGUGGGGAUGACGUCAAAUCAUCACGGGCCCUUACGUCCUGGGGCUACACACGUGCUACAAUGGGGUGAGACAAUGAGAUGCAACUCUGCGAAGAUUAGCUAAUCUAUAAACUCGUUCUAAGUUCGGGA